rnacentral:rRNA from 1 species
UAAGACAGAGGAUGCAAACGUUGCUCGGAAUUACUGGGCGUAAAGCGCGCGCAGGUGGUUCUGUAAGUCGGGUGUGAAAGCCCGGGGCUCAACCCCGGAAGUGCACUCGAUACUGCAAAACUUGAGUACUGAAGAGGAUCGCGGAAUUCCCGGUGUAGAGGUGAAAUUCGUAGAUAUCGGGAGGAACACCAGUGGCGAAGGCGGCGAUCUGGGCAGAUACUGACACUGAGGCGCGAAAGCGUGGGAAGCAAACAGG